GCCUGGCUGGCAGGGCAGACUGGCUGGUGGGGGGAGCCUGGCUGGGGGGCGGGUGUGCACCUGUGAACUCUGCCUGGCGCCUUGGCUGUGAGCUUGUUCACAACCUGCCAUCCUGUGGAUGCUCUUCCCGUGACAGCAAAGCGGAAGCCACGGCUCAGACAGCCACGUGUCCUCCUCCUCAGCCCGGGGCCGUUGGCACCACGCUGCCUGGCGUGAGGUGCUUGGGGACCUGCUGCGCUCCCUCCUCUGGAGGCACCCCCCCCCCCAAGAAGUGCUCAGCUCUACCCCUCUCCCCUGUGCGGAGGGGCACAGGGGCACCUUCCUUCAGUCCCUCUGGGACUUGUGCUCCCCCUCCUCCCCGAUCUCUCUGGCUGUUAAUUUCAUAAAGAGGCCAUUGUUCAUCUAGAUGGUCUUUACAGAAGCAUGUCCCCAGCGAGUGGAAACAUUUAGUUAAUAAUUUAACACUGUGCUGUCUGCUGAAUUUUCAGGCCCCCAAAUACGAUCGAUGAGGCUUACAAUUGGCUUAUUGAGUUUCCCAAAGACACAGACGAGCCGAGAAGGGACGGCCGGGGAGUGGGGGAGGGGAGCGCCGUAGAGGGAAACAAAUGUAGAUGGUAUUGAUGCAGGUUGUCAAAAAUAAUUGUUUUAUUUUCCCUGGGAAUGUUCCAGACACCCCCGGACGCACUGAUCCGUGACGCUGGCUCUCCAGAAGCAGGAGUUUGGCAUUUAUCGGCAUUUUGCUGCCCCCUCCUGAGAUGUUCAUCAGGUAAAUGCUUGCACUCAUUAUGUCACAGCCUAUCCCCAAAUUGUUUCGGGGGGAGGGAGGGAAGGAGAGACAAUGGCCCACAGUCCUUUCUGCUGGCCUCCCGAGGGGUGGGUGGGGGCUUGGAGGGCUGGCCCCGGAGGGUCAGAGGUAUCCGAGUCCGUGCGGGAUGUCGGGGAUGCUCUGGGUUCGGAACGUCCACAGCCAGGAGAAACAAGGCAGAAUGGGGCCCGGCCAGCGUGGGCAGGACCCCAGUAAGAACUUGGCUGGUGCUGUCGAGGACCCGCGGCCCCUUUUCCAGAAGAAGGUGGGGAUGGAACUCUAUCGUGAGGACGUCAGGUGGCAGAUUCCAGACGGCAGAUUUGUAGGUGGACCAGAUGACCCAGCAGGACCACCCUAAGUAACAUCCCGAACACCCGAGGUUCGAACAGAGAUUUGGACACAAGUGUUCACAGCAGCACGAUUCACAACAACCGAGAUGUGGAAACAGCCCGAAUGUCCAUCAACAGAGGACUCAACGAGCAAAAUGCCGUCCAUCCACACAACGGGACGUUAUUCAGUCAUAAAAAGGAACGCGUUACCGACACCUGCCGCGUCGUGGACAAACCCCCAAAACGCUAGGAGGAAGGACGGCAGACACGAAGGGCCGCGUGCCCGGAAUGGGGGGACACAGAGACGCAGAAAGCAGAUGUGCGGUUGCCAGGGGUGCUGCCAGGCACGGGUUCUGGAAGGGGGUGACGGCUGCACAGUGCUGGGGACGCCACCGAACUGCACCCUUGAAGAUGGUUACGACGGCGAGUUUAUGUUAUGUAUCUUGCCACACAAAACAAAAGACAAAAAAAACCCAAAAAAACCCCAAAAAGCCAGAAUAAAGCAAGCCGGGCCUCCCCACGAGCCUCAGGACCUGA